GUUGCUGUGACGUUACCUACAGAAGAAGGACCGGCUAACUCCGUGCCAGCAGCCGCGGUAAUACGGAGGGUCCGAGCGUUAAUCGGAAUUACUGGGCGUAAAGCGUGCGCAGGCGGUUUGUUAAGCGAGAUGUGAAAGCCCCGGGCUCAACCUGGGAAUUGCAUUUCGAACUGGCGAACUAGAGUCUUGUAGAGGGGGGUAGAAUUCCAGGUGUAGCGGUGAAAUG
rnacentral:rRNA from 1 species